rnacentral:rRNA from 1 species
UACGUAGGGCGCAAGCGUUGUCCGGAAUUAUUGGGCGUAAAGAGCUCGUAGGCGGUCUGUUACGUCCGCUGUGAAAACCCAGGGCUUAACCCUGGGCUUGCAGUGGAUACGGGUAGACUAGAGGCAGGUAGGGGAGAAUGGAAUUCCCGGUGUAGCGGUGAAAUGCGCAGAUAUCAGGAGGAACACCGGUGGCGAAGGCGGAUCUCUGGGCCGUAACUGACGCUGAGGAGCGAAAGCAUGGGGAGCGAACAGG